CCUACGGGUGGCAGCAGUGAGGAAUAUUGGUCAAUGGGCGCGAGCCUGAACCAGCCAAGUCGCGUGAGGGAAGACGGUCCUAUGGAUUGUAAACCUCUUUUGUCGGGGAGCAAAAGACGCCACGCGUGGCGUUCCGAGAGUACCCGAAGAAAAAGCAUCGGCUAAAUCCGUGCCAGCAGCCGCGGUAAUACGGAGGAUGCGAGCGUUAUCCGGAUUUAUUGGGUUUAAAGGGUGCGCAGGCGGAAGAUCAAGUCAGCGGUAAAAUUGAGAGGCUCAACCUCUUCGAGCCGUUGAAACUGGUUGUCUUGAGUGAGUGAGAAGGAUGCGGAAUGCGUGGUGUAGCGGUGAAAUGCAUAGAUAUCACGCAGAAGUCCGAUUGCGAAGGCAGCAUACCGGCGCUCAACUGACGCUCAUGCACGAAAGUGUGGGUAUCGAACAGGAUUAGAUACCCUGGUAGUC
rnacentral:rRNA from 1 species